GGGUGGUUAGCUCAGUGGUAGAGCACUGCCUUCACACGGCAGGGGUCACAGGUUCAAACCCUGUACCACCCACCA
rnacentral:tRNA from 1 species